rnacentral:lncRNA from 1 species
AAUCAGAGUUGUCACUUGGGAUAAUUUAUGGUGUCCCAAGUCACCGGUUUAAAAUCCUGAAUCGAGGAAAGAAUGACUCUAUUAUUAUAAUCUGCGAAUCAGAAACCCGGGUAAGAAAUUCUACUAACCCGGGAGAAGGUGUUAGGCACUCCCGAAUUCCGUGGUUCUAGCACGGUCACUUUGAUCCUUCUUGGCUUGUU